rnacentral:rRNA from 1 species
UAGCGGCGAGCGAACGGGGAGCAGCCCAGAGCCUGAAUCAGUGUGUGUGUUAGUGGAAGCGUCUGGAAAGGCGCGCGAUACAGGGUGACAGCCCCGUACACAAAAAUGCACAUACUGUGAGCUCGAUGAGUAGGGCGGGACACGUGGUAUCCUGUCUGAAUAUGGGGGGACCAUCCUCCAAGGCUAAAUACUCCUGACUGACCGAUAGUGAACCAGUACCGUGAGGGAAAGGCGAAAAGAACCCCGGCGAGGGGAGUGAAAAAGAACCUGAAACCGUGUACGUACAAGCAGUGGGAGCCUCUUUUAUGGGGUGACUGCGUACCUUUUGUAU